AUUCAGCUGACGAGUCCCAAAUAGGAUGAAACACAUGCCGUGGAU
rnacentral:hammerhead_ribozyme from 1 species